rnacentral:tRNA from 1 species
GGUAGGGUGGCCGAGCGUGUAGGCGGCGGGUUGUAGCCCUGAAGACAGAGGUUUAAGUCCUCUCCCUACCA